GUAUCUACGGCAGGGGACUGCCCCGCGCGGGCCCCGGUCCCCCGGAGCCGCGGCCUGGUGUUCCAGCGCACAUAUCCCGGUGACCUUGGAAAGCCCAGGGCGGGGGAGCCGUGCGGGAACUGACCGCCUCUACCCCCCACCCCGGGGCUGCUAUUCCGGGCGCCGCGCUCAGGGCCAGGGAAUGUGCGAGAACCGAGGUGGCCCUGCCAUGGUUCCGGGAGUCCGGGACGCUGCCUCCUUUCCACCGACGCCCAGAUCGCGUCCCCGCGAGGGUCCCCUUUCCCGGAUCUCAUCCACGAUCUCCCGUGACAUUGAGCUACUUUUCUCAUAAUUGGUAAAAAGACCCAAGCAGAUGAAAUAGAGAUUAUUCAUGUGGAAAUCUG